rnacentral:rRNA from 1 species
GACGAACGCUGGCGGCGUGCCUAAUACAUGCAAGUAGAACGCUGAAGAGAGGAGCUUACUCUUCUUGGAUGAGUUGCGAACGGGUGAGUAACGCGUAGGUAACCUGCCUUGUAGCGGGGGAUAACUAUUGGAAACGAUAGCUAAUACCGCAUAACAAUGGAUGACACAUGUCAUUUAUUUGAAAGGGGCAAUUGCUCCACUACAAGAUGGACCUGCGUUGUAUUAGCUAGUAGGUGAGGUAAUGGCUCACCUAGGCGACGAUACAUAGCCGACCUGAGAGGGUGAUCGGCCACACUGGGACUGAGACACGGCCCAGACUCCUACGGGAGGCAGCAGUAGGGAAUCUUCGGCAAUGGGGGCAACCCUGACCGAGCAACGCCGCGUGAGGUAAGAAGGUUUUCGGAUCGUAAAGCUCUGUUGUAAGUCAAGAACGGGUGUGAGAGUGGAAAGUUCACACUGUGACGGUAGCUUACCAGAAAGGGACGGCUAACUACGUG